rnacentral:rRNA from 1 species
AUGGAGUUUCGGCACGGUGGCUCGCCGGGGGGCGGCGGGGGCGACGGCAAGCCGCGCGAGAAGUUCUCGGUAUACCAGAACCCGUCCCUCACCCGCGCGCUCGCCUCCCGCAGCGUCCGCCCCUCCCUCCCCGUCCUCCUCCUCCUUGCGCUCUCCCCCAUCGCAUCUGCCUCAUCCCUCAUGGCCCUGUCGUCCCGGGAGGGGCAGCUCUUCAAGGUCGCUGGUGGCGCGGGUCUAUCCAUGGCUGCUGUCGUGUUUGCCGUCAGGUUGGUGGAGGCAGCCCUGGGCCUUGUCGCACUUUUGACACUGCCAGCGUUCUUCAGGGCACUGGUGCUGUACAAUGGGGGGAAGGCAUUGGCCAAGGAGGACAAGGUUGUGUUGUCCGAACGCCAACUGGGGCUUCUUGGGUUAAAGACCACAGGUUCAGAAGGAUCUCCCAUGGGUGAGCAAACCAAGAAGCCUCCCAAGGCAAAGCCAUCAACACCCUCAGAGCCAAUUGUUCCUAUCAGGAGAUCUUCGUUCAGCUACACACCGUCACGGGUGCAACCAAGGAUUGGCUCCAGCCAUUUGAGCCCUGGUAGUGAGAGAUUGACCACAUUACAAAUGUCGCCUUCCACUCCACUACAGAAGCCUGUUUCUUCCCCUUCAACUCCAUGGUCGAGGAAAAGCUCAGGCAGUGCCAAAGGCAUACAAACUGAGGCGAUGUUGGACCAGUUCUUGGCUACCUUGGAUGAAAAUAUUGAUAAUGUCACGGAUUCAGCCAAUAAAACUGCAACGCCUCCAGCAACCAUCACGAGCUUUGGCAUUGCCAGCCCUGUCUCAAUCACCACAUCAACUACCCCUUCUGGUGCUACACGGAGCACACCUUUGAGGCCUGUGAGGAUGUCUCCUGGCUCCCAUCAGAAGUACAGCACGCCUCCGAAAAAGGGCGAGGGUGAGCUUCCACCGCCAAUGUCCCUGGAGCAGGCAGUGGAUGCCUUUGAAAAUCUGGGUGUGUAUCCUGAGAUUGAGCAGUGGCGAAACAAUCUCAGGCAGUGGUUCUCUUCAGUCCUGAUGAGCCCGCUUGUUGAAAAGAUUAAAUCAAGCCAUAUUCAGGUUAAGCAAACAACAGCUAGUAUUGGAGCUUCAGUUAAUGUUAGCCAAGUUGGAAGCGAUCUGCCAAGCACGACACCACCAGUUAGCUUAUCUCCACUUGGUGGGACUAAAGAUUGGCAGCCAACUGUCACCGUUGAUGAGGAUGGUAUUCUUAAUCAAAUGCGGGCUGCACUUCUGCAAUCUCGUAAUGCUCCUGUUGCCCAAACCUUCGGGAGCCCACAACAGCCACAGUCAAACCCCCUCCUUCCAGCUAUUCAAGCAUGUAUCGAUGCAAUUACAGAGCACCAGAGGCUUAACGCUCUGAUGAAGGGAGAGCUUAUAAAAGGCUUGCUGCCACAGAGUAGCGUCCGUGCUGAUUAUACUGUUCACAGAGUUCAAGAACUUGCUGAAGGAACGUGCUUGAAGAAUUAUGAUUACAUGGGCUAUAGAGAUGGCUAUGGUAAAUCAGAGAAAAAAUGGACCAGCGAGCUGCCAACUGACUCACAUCUUCUUCUCUACUUGUUUGCUGCUUUCCUUGAACAUCCAAAGUGGAUGCUUCAUGUUGAUCCAACCUCCUACUCUGGUGCCCAGUCUAGCAAAAAUCCUUUAUUUCUAGGAAUCCUUCCACCGAAAGAGAGGUUUCCAGAGAAGUAUGUUGCUUUGAUAUCUGGCGUUCCAGCAAUUAUUCACCCAGGAGCUCUUGUACUGGCUGUGGGCAAGCAGAGUCCUCCAGUUUUUGCUCUAUACUGGGACAAGAAGCUGCAAUUUUCUCUUCAGGGAAGAACAGCACUGUGGGACGCCAUUUUGCUUCUAUGCCACCAAAUCAAAGUUGGUUACGGCGGUAUUGUCAGGGGUACCCACAUCGGGUCUUCUGCCUUGAACAUCCUUUCCGUCCUUGAUUCAGACAUGGAGAGCUGA